AUUAAUUGGGACCAUCUGUCAUCUAGGAGACACAUUUACUCAACCCACAGCUAGACCUCAUUUCAAGAACUUUACAUAUAUGAACGUAUGACCCUAUAAGUUCUGUGCUAACAUAACCAAUUACAGACGAAGAACCAUAAACAAGGGCCAGUGAAACACACAGACAGCCCAGUGACUUUGCAACUAACACCUGCAUGACCUUGGACAAAGUUGAUACUUCACCAAAUUUGUUUUUCCUCACCUUGGAAAGCUGGGGUAACUCCCACAACACAAUGUUAUAGGGAAGAUUAAUAAGAUAAAAUAUAGAAACUGGCAUAUAGUAGAUGCUUAAUAAAUAUUUUUACCCCAAGUUUUACCAUAUACAAAAUCUAGCCCUUUCUUAGAAAACAGUCUGUACCCUCAGUAGACUUACGAAACACGCACAGAUUAGGUAGGAGAUUUCCAGACUCCUUGUUCAUUAACUAUUAGUUGAGGGGCUCUUCUGCACAAAGUCGAAGUGUCUUAAGAUAAUUAUGUUUCAGUUGGGGCAAUGAUUGUUGUACAUAACUAUGUAUAUUAAGAACUGGAAAGCGCUAAAUAUUUUAAGUGAGGGAGAGUCAUGAAAAUUUAGAGGAGGAGGAAAUUGCUUUCACCUCCAAGAGAUGGGGCACAGAGUAGAGAAAGGGCAUCCCAGCUAAACAUUGAAGGGUGUCACUAAUAUGUAGUUUUUCUUUGCAUAGCCCACAGAAUAAAAUACUUUCUCCUCUGUGGUAUGCUUCAUCACUUUUCACUACUUUUAUUAUUAAAUUUAUAUUAGACUGUCAUUUCUGUUUCUGUCUCCCACUUACUGUGUACUUCUAGUUACCAGGAACUGUCUUAUCCCUCGAAA